CAUUCAGCUAAGGAGCAGAAGUUCUAGAGCAGGAAGCAGGAAUAGCUCAUGUUCUGUCUGGAUUUCCAAAGGAGAAUUGCACAAAGUGAGGACUAGAGUGCCAUUCAGCUUCCCUAUCUCCCUGAGGGCUGCUCUGCGCUGCCCUAUCUCCACUAUCCUUUCCUGUUCCUUCCUCACCCACCCCAUGGACACAGCGUACAGGGGUCAACAUAGUGAACAUGAAGGCACUCCAGCUCUCAGCAGUUCUUUCUCUAAUAACAGAAAGCCUGGCUUACUGAUCAAAUGAAGCAGAUCUGAUCUCUGAUUCUGCCCUGCUUUUCCCUUGAUGAGAGGAAAGUAGUCAAGACUACCUAACUAAAGGAACAGUGUUUUGUUAUCUGUUUUAAUCUGGGCUUGUGGGUUACUCUAACUGAAGCCACAAAAGACAGCAAAGAUAUAGUGGCUGAUAUAAAAUGACCAACAUUGACUCCUAUACAUGUCAUACCAAUGUGAUUAUUUCUCUGUGUUUGCUGAUUCAUACAAUGCUACUCUACAGCAAAGAGAUUUCAUACAGUACCCCAGCUGUGUUAACUAAGUUUGCAGCAGUUUGCCACCUUAACCUCCUGAAUUCUUGUGCUAAUAAACAGGGUUUGGCUGCAAAUAUGUUGUUUGCACUGUUCCUUAGCAAAGGUACUGAAGAUCAUAAUUUUGUGCAAAUCUUAGUGUUGGCAGGCACUCAAAAUAGUACUAAGAGCUGGUUUGUCAAAUUUAGUUUGGCUUCCAGAAACACCUUUUUAUAAGAUGCAUCUAAUGUGCAUGGGUUCUAUGUCACCAGUGCGAUAUUCAGGAUGAGCAUUUUGAUAAGAGCCUUAAAGAAAACUGUCUUCAAUAGACUCUUUUUUCUAAAGUGUAUCUUUGAAUUCAUGGAGAACCCAGCUGUUUAUACUGGCAUCCAGAAACUGCUGCCAAGGUUUUGUUUGUCUAAUCUAAGAAAAAAGGAGCAUUAGGUCAAAUGCUUGUCUUAGAGCACGGUAGAAAAAAUAUUUAUGAGGCUUUAUGAAGGAGGUUUAGUCCACAGUUUCUUUUAAAAAAAAAUUAAAUGGAAGAGAGUUCAAAACUUUUCUAUAAACAUUGUAAGAAAACAUUAUAAACCUACAAUAAUGUAUAAUUUUAAGAUAAAUUACUUCUUCCUCUCUAUUAUCCCAUGUCCUACAGUGGUAGGAUAAUAUCUAGGUUUAACUUCAGAAUCUUGUACUUUAUGAUGAUCUUGAUUCAGAAACUGUUUUUCAGCCACAGGAAACACUUGAUGACUGUGAUACAACCUGAUGACAUAGACUAUCUCUUUAAUGAUGACUCUGUAGCAGCAGAUGCAGUCUUGUGCAUCUUGACAGUGAGCGAAUGGCUGAAUCUGCAUCAGGUGAAAUUAUUUGCUGUAUAAAUACUUUUAUACUUCAGCAUUAUUUUGCCAUAUAAAUCCCAUAUUGGCUUUUAUGUCAAUAGAUUAAGUCAUAUGAUGAUUUAGCCAUGUAGCCUGUUAGUAGAUCCUAAAGCAGGCUUAGAACACAGAUAUUUCAGCGCUUCUCAACCUGCAGUGUUGUGUUGUUAAACUGCCUGCAAUGUUGGUGACUCGGGAAGAAGCAACAAAGGAAGCCUGUCAGUAAACAAACUUCAUUGCAGAAAUCUUAUCACAAAUGUCAACAUAUAAAAGAAAAUGUAACAUAAAAAUGCAUGUGCUGAUUCACAGCUCCCAGUGACACUCAUGGAAUAGACUGGUUGGGCGGAGGAUUAAUGCAAUAUAUAACAGACCUGCUGCAGUUUUCCUUCUUUGAUUCUGAGUUGGUUAUUUAGUCACGGAACCUUCACUGCUUUCCAUCAAUGUGAAUUAUGCACUGACUGAUGCAGAGCGGGAAGUCUUCCAUGUUUUUGCCUAUGCUAUGCCCCAGUGAACUGGACUACUGACUGAUCACCCACCAGUUUCCAUGAAGCCGUGUUGUUACCUUCUGAUCAGUGUGUGUGGGUCUCCUAGGCUGUCUAAAAUUGCUGUCAUUGCUUUUGCAAUGUAUGUCUUAAGUCUAUUAAGAAGUGCUUAGCAGCUAUCUUGCAAGAAGGGUAGAUAAAUUUUGAUGUCCAGCUAAGUGCAGCAUGGCCAUCCUGCCUAUAUGAUCUGUAUAUGUGUACACUUGGACCCAUAUUAAGGGAAAUGUAGGUCUGAGUCUCCUUUCCUCAGUCUUUCCUAUAUGUACUUCAUGUGUAUGACUGAAUUUGAAAGUUAAACCAAAACACAAUUUUGAUAUCAAUGUCUUGUCUGUACUUCAUUUCUCCAGCUCCAAAACUGGAUGAAAUAGAACAUUGCUGCUAUUUCACUCCCAAUAAUGGUAUUACUGCAAAUUAAAAUAAAAGGCUGAAGUUCUUGAGUACUGCUAUGACUGGGAUCAUGAAAGCAUCAUACACAAUUGUAUUGUAGGUUUGCUUCUUGUUCCUAUAGCAACAUACAGGCAAGAUCUCAAGGCUCUUUACAAGUAUUCAUGAAUUAAGCCUGUGAGGUCAUGGAUGGUGAUUAUUCUUGUUUACAAACAAGGAAAUGCAGAGGUUAAAUUGCUUGAUCAAGGUCACACAAUAAAUCUGUAUCCAAGCCAAAAAUAAAAGCUGACUCAAAUCUGUGCUUCAGUCACCAGCUGAUACUCUCUGUUUGAAGAGCUGUGCAGGGCUGAGGGGAAAGCCUUGUAAAAAGUCUACAGAUUUCUUCAUUCAAAACGUACAUUCCAGCUCAGAUUGCCUCACUUAAGUGACCUUAUAUUUUUAUCUCUUUGUCUAUCUAAACUUUGCCCUCGUGAAAACAUCAUUAUAUCCAGUCAAAGCAGGAGUAACAUAAUUUUGACAAGAGUUUUGCAAAUCUUUGACAAAACAAAACUGAAACCUAUGCUAAAAAAUUUUAACAAUUUCUCUAUGCAUGAUUGCUAAUUCUUCAGUGGCAAUUAGAUGAAAAGGUCCAGAACAUACCUAGUUAAUUUCAGUGACUACAUAGAUGAAAAAACCCAAAUGUAUUUUUACUAAGAACAACUACGAAUUUUCUCUGGAGUUACCACAGAGAUAUUGUAUUGUAUGAUGAAAAAAUAGGAUUUGUUAAUAGGUAACAACAAAUAAAAGUGCACUUUCCUGA